CUGUUAAAGGGUUCGUAGUUGAAUUGAGGGCUGUCAAGGAGACGAACAAGUCCCGUCCUUCGGAUAGGUGACCUUCGCUCUUGCAGUUCGUGAACAUCAGAAACAAACAUCUCGGAAGUGUUUCCUCCCAACCUACGCAUGCAAUGUAUGCAGGGGGGCGUCCGUGUGUCUUACUGUGACUAAAAAAGUGCGACCAAAGCAGUCGUUCGACAUGAAUUAGAAAGCAUGGGAUAACAAUUGAUCAGCCUACGGGUUACCGUUUCGGCUUUUGUUGGUUUUAGAGAUCUGUAGGAGAUUAUGGACUCGCACGACAAGCGGUUCGGGGUUCCGUCCCCACGCCUCCAUCGUUUGCGGCUUUCGGGUCCAGGCGGUGGCUUGCGGCGUCCAGGAAUGAAGGAGGGUUGUUCGGGGGAGAACGUA
rnacentral:rRNA from 1 species